rnacentral:sRNA from 10 species
ACUCAACGCGAAUUUUUUUAUAAAGGGUGAGUCUUUUCUGCUAAAGCAUGCCAGUAUGGAUCCUUGAUCAGUUAGUUAGCCUUAAUCUUGUUUUAUGAGAGUUU